rnacentral:tRNA from 1 species
GGGGUUGUGGCUCAGUGGUAGAGCACUCACCUAGUAGGUGAGAGGCCCUGGGUUUGAUCCUCAGCACCACA